GUGAAUCAUCGAAUCUUUGAACGCAUAUUGCACUAGCUGGUAUUCCGGAGAGUAUGCCUAUUUGAGGGUCAUUUGAAAUAAUAUAAAUUUCUAGAUGUUCUUUAUAGCGAUAAUGGGUCUUUCCAACUUCCGUUUGCUGUUCGCCUAAAAUGCAAUACAAUCUCAUUUCUUCGCUUGCUUAAUACUUUCAGUUACCUCGUUACUUCACAAAAAAUCUUCGAGCAUGUUAAGAUUGGUGCAAGAACUAAACGUCAUUUAACUCAAGCUCAAUAUUAAACUGAAGC
rnacentral:misc_RNA from 1 species